UACGGGGGGGGGCAAGCGUUGUUCGGAAUUACUGGGCGUAAAGAGCUUGUAGGCGGUUUGUCGCGUCUGCUGUGAAAUUUCGGGGCUCAACCCCGAACUUGCAGUGGGUACGGGCAGACUAGAGUGUGGUAGGGGAGACUGGAAUUCCUGGUGUAGCGGUGAAAUGCGCAGAUAUCAGGAGGAACACCGAUGGCGAAGGCAGGUCUCUGGGCCACUACUGACGCUGAGAAGCGAAAGCAUGGGGAGCGAACAGG
rnacentral:rRNA from 1 species